rnacentral:rRNA from 1 species
CAGUCGCCGCGGUAAAACGGAGGGCGCGAGCGUUACCCGGAUUUACUGGGCGUAAAGGGCGUGUAGGCGGCCUGGGGCGUCCCAUGUGAAAGGCCACGGCUCAACCGUGGAGGAGCGUGGGAUACGCUCAGGCUAGAGGGUGGGAGAGGGUGGUGGAAUUCCCGGAGUAGCGGUGAAAUACGCAGAUACCGGGAGGAACGCCGAUGGCGAAGGCAGCCACCUGGUCCACUUCUGACGCUGAGGCGCGAAAGCGUGGGGAGCAAACCGGAUUAGAUACCCCUGUAGUCCCUGUCUCUUAUAC